UCCAUUUCUGGGAUGCGAACUUUGUAAGUAACUAGCCGAAAGGGAGGAGACGAGAGAAGGGAAAGGCCAGAGGAGAAACCGAGUUUUUUUUUGGGAGAGGAUCAGAGGAAGAGGAGAAACAGAGUUUGCGCCAAGGUGAUUUGGCAAAUGGUCCUGCGAUACCUUCGCUCAUGGAAGCUUCUCUGUUCAAACACAAGUCAGGACGCUCUAGCACAUAUUCUUUGGUUGGAGGACAAGUCGGUGGAGAUCACAAGACUUCGCUCGAGAUGAAGAAGAGAAGGGCGAUCUCGAUGCUGACUCUCAACGCCUGCCAGGGCAUCAUGUCGAUGUCCCUUCAAGACUGCUCUCCAUGAAGAAACGAGAUAUGACGUUGAUUUUCUGCCAUUUUGUCCAGCUUUCAUGAUGUCUUGUAAUCGGGCUAGUUAGAGGCGCUGGAA